AGCGUUAACCAAUGCAAGUCGAACGGUGAAGCCCAGCUUGCUGGGUGGAUCAGUGGCGAACGGGUGAGUAACACGUGAGCAACCUGCCCCUGACUCUGGGAUAAGCGCUGGAAACGGCGUCUAAUACUGGAUAUGUGAUGUGACCGCAUGGUCUGCAUCUGGAAAGAAUUUCGGUUGGGGAUGGGCUCGCGGCCUAUCAGCUUGUUGGUGAGGUAAUGGCUCACCAAGGCGUCGACGGGUAGCCGGCCUGAGAGGGUGACCGGCCACACUGGGACUGAGACACGGCCCAGACUCCUACGGGAGGCAGCAGUGGGGAAUAUUGCACAAUGGGCGCAAGCCUGAUGCAGCAACGCCGCGUGAGGGAUGACGGCCUUCGGGUUGUAAACCUCUUUUAGCAGGGAAGAAGCGAAAGUGACGGUACCUGCAGAAAAAGCACCGGCUAACUACGUGCCAGCAGCCGCGGUAAUACGUAGGGUGCAAGCGUUAUCCGGAAUUAUUGGGCGUAAAGAGCUCGUAGGCGGUUUGUCGCGUCUGCUGUGAAAUCUGGAGGCUCAACCUCCAGCCUGCAGUGGGUACGGGCAGACUAGAGUGCGGUAGGGGAGAUUGGAAUUCCUGGUGUAGCGGUGGAAUGCGCAGAUAUCAGGAGGAACACCGAUGGCGAAGGCAGAUCUCUGGGCCGUUACUGACGCUGAGGAGCGAAAGGGUGGGGAGCAAACAGGCUUAGAUACCCUGGUAGUCCACCCCGUAAACGUUGGGAACUAGUUGUGGGGUCCAUUCCACGGAUUCCGUGACGCAGCUAACGCAUUAAGUUCCCCGCCUGGGGAGUACGGCCGCAAGGCUAAAACUCAAAGGAAUUGACGGGGACCCGCACAAGCGGCGGAGCAUGCGGAUUAAUUCGAUGCAACGCGAAGAACCUUACCAAGGCUUGACAUAUACGAGAACGGGCCAGAAAUGGUCAACUCUUUGGACACUCGUAAACAGGUGGUGCAUGGUUGUCGUCAGCUCGUGUCGUGAGAUGUUGGGUUAAGUCCCGCAACGAGCGCAACCCUCGUUCUAUGUUGCCAGCACGUAAUGGUGGGAACUCAUGGGAUACUGCCGGGGUCAACUCGGAGGAAGGUGGGGAUGACGUCAAAUCAUCAUGCCCCUUAUGUCUUGGGCUUCACGCAUGCUACAAUGGCCGGUACAAAGGGCUGCAAUACCGUGAGGUGGAGCGAAUCCCAAAAAGCCGGUCCCAGUUCGGAUUGAGGUCUGCAACUCGACCUCAUGAAGUCGGAGUCGCUAGUAAUCGCAGAUCAGCAACGCUGCGGUGAAUACGUUCCCGGGUCUUGUACACACCGCCCGUCAAGUCAUGAAAGUCGGUAACACCUGAAGCCGGUGGCCUAACCCUUGUGGAGGGAGCUU
rnacentral:rRNA from 1 species